rnacentral:lncRNA from 1 species
AAAAGAACCCUGAGGACCCACCUGCCUCUGUCAGGGGAGCCCUGGGGACCUGCUCUACGUUGUGAACUUGGGAACACGCCCUCAUCUGUGAUUGCCUCUGCCUGGCAAUGAGCUUCUAUAGAAGGGCAACUCCUCUUUGCCCUUCCUCAUGAUUUACCCUGGUCUUCUGCAUGGCCCUUUCUAUCUUGUCCUUCCCCUGGGCAGCCCCUCCUCAGUGACUCGAUGUCCCCCUUGAACUUUCCUGUCAGAGUCUGCAGGGGUCACAGAAGGGGUGGACGCUAUCCUGCCUAAGGCCAGGACCAUGACCCUCGAGUCCAGGAGUCUUACGGCUGACAGUGGGGUCAAGCAGGGGAGGCGGGGGAGCACCUGAGGCUUGGACCUUCCCUUCAUGGAGUUGUUAAAACUGCAUGGGGACUUCAGGUGACAAAUCCAGGAAGCAGCAACCGUCAUUCAGAGCCAGCAGUUGGCACGCUAAAGAAAUCUGCAAAGGAGAACCUUACACAGAAAUCAGCCUUCUGUCCUCACACAGUAGCCUCAUCACAGGGCUUCCAGGGGCCCUCAGGCAGGUGGGUGCUGAAGUUUCCCCCUAGAUGAUCAGCAGCCUGCUUCCACCCGAAAUCCAGUCCCCCUGGCUGCCUGUGACAAGAGAGCCCUUCAUGCUGAGUGCUGCUCUCAUCGCACCUUUUUCUCUCCGUGUUUAGACAGAGAGAGUGGAUUCAUGUUUGAUUAAACA